UAUAGGUAGACAUAGAGAGAGAUAAGUAGAGACAUAGGUAGCUAGCUGAGUAGCUGGAUGGAUGGAUGGAUGGAUGGAUGGAUGGAUGGAUGGAAGAAAGGGGAGUUUAUUAUGGGAAUCGGCUCACAUGAUUAUGGAGACUGAGAAGUCCCAUGAUUUGCCCUGUGCAAGGGGACCCAGGGAGCCUGGUAGUGUGGCUCAGUUUAAGCCUGAAGAUCUGAGAACCAGGGAGGCCGACAGUGUAACUCGCAGUCAGAGGGGCCACUGGUAUAAGUCCCAGGGUCCAAAGGCCAGAGAACCAGGAGUUCCGAUGUCUAAGGGCAGUAGGAGGUGGGUGUCCCAUCUCUGGCGGGGGAAGAGAGAGCAAGAGAGCACCAAUUCAUCUUUCCCUUCUGCCUGGGCCCUCAGUGGAUUGGACGGUGCCCUCCCACACUGGGUGAGGACAGACCUUCCUUACUCAGCCCACGGACUCAAACGCCAGCCUCUCCUGGAAACACUCUCACAGGCACACCCAGAGAUAAUGCUUUCGUGCUCUCUGGGUAUCCCUUCAUCCAGUCAAGUUGACAGCUGAAACGAACCAUCGCAAGUUCACUCCUUGUCAGCUUGGAACCCAUACACGCCUCCUUAAACUGUACUUCAUCUCCAAAUAGACAGCAGCAAGGUCAUGGUUCCAACCAACAUGUUACAACUAUCCCACAAACAACCAGACACGCACUGACUCCCUCCCUGGAAGAGGAGGUGAAGUCUCUCCCAAUAUCCCAUGGCCUCAACACUGUCAUGUAAAAUUCACAAUACCUUGAUACUGAGACAAAGUCAGCAGAUCUUACACUACAUGAUAAAGGAGUAAGAGAGGAAAGAAAACAGAUAUUUGCUGAAUAUAUGUACGCAUACGCACAAAUGCUUUCUUAGCAAAAUAGAGAGGAAACAUUCGUGACAGUUGCAGUCCUCGUUUCUGCAACUGGCCAAGCUACAGGAGUACCUGGUAUUUAUAACCACUGUCCAUUCUGUAGUCCCUUUGCCCUCAGCAAGCACCUCAGCUGGUAAUGGUUCUGUACCUGGCCGGGGGACCCAAGGCUUCAGUGCUUAAGGGUCUGGGCCUUGCUGUAGUUUCCUAGGGAAACUUGCCUUGCUGUGGUUUCCAGGGAUCUUAACCACAGGGUGUGGUUACACUUAGAGAAGCUCUAAGGGGCCUCCUGCAUUCCACACACUCCUCCACGUCUCCAGUGUGGAGUGCAGUCCAAUGUCCCCUGGGUCCUCUGGUUCAAUCCCCAGCCAGCAUCCAAACUCCCUUAUCGGCCUGUUGACUCUGAGGCUUGAGGAGCCCCAAGUGCCCAGGUGGCACUUUAACUUCCAGUUCAAUGGAGUCAUUGUUGUGUCUCCUGGUGGCAGCAUUCCUCACCUCGGAACCAAGGCCCCUAGGCCAGCAGAGCGUAAAGUCAUGGGAACAGGAAACAAAAACCCUGCUACUGGGUCACUGGGGGUGACGGUGGGUGGUGCCACUCCCACUUCUGCCCCUUGGUUCCUGGACCCGUGAAUCCUGACUGUGGGAGAGACAGCUCCACAUAUCGGACCCUGAUCCAGAGCACAGACAGCCUCCUGGAGCAGCACCUUGCCCCAGCCCUCCAAGGCAUCGCCACCCAGCUGGUGCUGGAGCCGUGUUUGCAAAAGCCCAUUCCACCAUUCUAUCACGCCAGCUGCUUCAGGAUGAUGGAGUAUGUGGUAAGACACGUGAAUGCCCCGAGCAUGAGCCCACCGCCACACUUCUUUGGCUGCAAAGUGAGUUCAUUGGUCAAAGCAAUGCUGUGUGGACAGCACGGCAGUGGAUGAGGCGUUCUGAGCCCACAGAUGGUAGUGACGACAGAAACACCGUGCGCAGGGAAGACAAAUGCAUAUCCAUGGCAGGCCCCUAUCCCAAUAAGAACAAACCAGCGCCCCUCCCAUGAUGGGAGCCAUCCAGUGUCACCCACCUGCCCCCAGGCACCAGGCUGAUCACUCUACGGAAUGGAGCCUCAGUGCCCCUCCCAUGAUGGGAGCCUCUAGUGUCACCCACCUGCCUCCAGGCACCAGGCUGAUCACUCUAGGGAAUGGAGCCUUAGCACCCUUCCCAUGAUGGGAGCCUCUAGUGUCAUCCACCUGCCCCCAGGCACCAGGCUGAUUACUCUGGGGAAUGGAGCCUGUCAGGCUGAGUGUUGGUCUCUGCUGCUGGCAGAUGGGCACACAGUGCUGGUGGUACCCAGCUUGGCCUUGGUGAGUGGAAGUCCAUGUUGCUGAGCCCAUGCACAACCUCCAUCCCUGCCACCACAGCCACUUUGCUCAGGAGCUCACUGGGUGAUGAGAGGGGUGGCUGGGAAAAGCCUAACUGGUGUCCAUAGAGCAGGUCAUCCUGUCCACAUGAUUACUGAAGUCCUCCUCUGCUGAGGUCACCCUUUGGUGAGCAUCCACGUGGGACACAGAUAUCUUGAUGUCAUUUGCCUGUUCAGAGAGGGCUGUCUAUACAUCUCUUCCAUACAUUUCUCGGUCACCAAUUUUCCAAUCAUGUUCCUUUCAAGCACCUGACCAUCCACCUAAAUCAAUGGCAACAGCCAUGAAUCAAAUAUCGUCACACAUCUGCUCCUUCUAAGUGGAGCACAGACAGGUGCAUGCCGGAAGUUCUACCCACGGGGAAGACUCCUCUUCACCACUGUCCUUGAGGGAUGUCCCCUAGGGGCUAUAGGACCGCAGCUGUCCACCUUCCGGUAGUGUCUGCAUACUGAGCAGAACCAUUUGUAAGUCUGGCCUCAGUUUUCUCUUCCUCUGUCAACUAAUGAGAGGGAACUCCCCACGAAGCCACAGGUACAGACGGGGAGGGAGAAGGCAGGGGAGCAGCAGUGGGGUGGCCCAACAGGCUUUGGGCCACUACUUCACGUAACUUACUUGUGCCUUCAGGACCUGCGUGGGCCUGAUCACCUAUCCCCCGCUUCCACUGGCUGAUGCAGCACUGCUGUGCACACACGACUUUAUGGCUACGUGGGUCAGAUGGUCCCCAGAUCAUGAUGAGCAGUUCAAGUCACGUGGAGGAUUCAGAUGCAAUGACUUGUCCUUUACCUUAGAACAGGCCCCACACCCCUGGACGUUUCCCUGAGGUAGAAGGCUCUGAAUUGCAGCUGGGUUUAUUCCCCACCCUCUGACACCGACAAGUCUGGAAUGGUGGCUACUUCUUGUGCCUUACGUCCCAUCAGCAUGAUGUCAUCAGUGUAAUGGGCCAGUGUGACAUCCUGGGGAAGGAAGAGGUGAUCGAGACCCCUGAGAAUUACCUCCGACACAGGCUGGAGAGAGCUAGGAAACCCAUCUUCUCCUGUCUGUGGGCAUCGGAACUCCGGGUUCUCCAGCCACUGCACCUUGGGACUCAUACCAGUAGCUACUCCACCACCACCAGUUUUCAGGCCUUUGGCCUCAGACUGAGAGUUACACAAUCUGUUCCCCUGGUUCUGAGGCCUUUGGGCUUGGACUGAGCCCCGCACCAGCUUCUCUAGGUCUCCAGCUUGCAGACUGCCUGUCGUGAGACUUCUCAGCCUGCAUAAUCAGAACUGUCAGGUCUCUGAGCUGAAGCUCAGCCAUUAUAACCUCUGUGACCUGCACAUACACAUCCAGGUGGCCUGCAAGAGCCAAGAAUUCUGGAGCAGCCAAGAAACCACGAAGAAGUAAAACAGCCAGUUCCUGCCUUAACUGAUUAACCAAAAUUACAACAUUUUAUCAAUGUGACUUGUCCCAUUAGGUGAUCAAUAGACUUUGUGACAUUCUUCUUCUGGACAAUAAAUCUUAUGAUCACCCUACAAUGUACCUUGUAACCCCCUCCCCUGCUAACAAUAGAUACCCACCUUUUACUGUAAUUUUCCAUUACCUACCUAACUCCUAUAAAGCAACCCCUUCCCCAUCUCCCUUCGCUGACUCUCUUUUUGGACUCAGCCCACCUGCACCCAGGUGAAUUAAAAGCUUUAUUGCUCACACAAAGACUGUUUGGUGGUUUCUUCACACAGACGUGCUUGACAAGAACCACCCCUGGCACCAACAUCUGUACUAGUCUGGGUUCUCCAGAUUAGGGGUGCUGACCCCCUGCACAGUUGAAAGUGCACAUAUAACUUUUGACUCCCCCGACACUUUACUAAUAGCCUACUGUUGAUUAGAAGUCUUCCUGAUAACAUAAACAGCCAAUUAACACAGAUUUUUUUUAUAUGUAUUCGUGUGUGUGUGUGUGUAUAAAGUGAAGAAUUGGCUCCUGUGAUCAUGGAGGCCGAAGAGUCCCACAAUCUGCCUUCUACAAGCUGAGAUCCGGGCAGCCAGUGAUGUAUAGUUCAGCUGGAGUUUGAAGGCCUGAAAACCAGGAGCACUGACUGUGUAAAUUUCAUGCCGAGGGCAGGAGAAGACCGAUGUCCCAGCUCAACAGUGAGGCCAGAAAGAGGAGUGAACUUCUCCCUUCCCUGCCUUUUGUUCUCUUCAGGUCCUGAGUGCCCUGGAUGAGGCCCCCACACUGGGAGGGGUGUCUUCCGUACGGGGCCCAUGGUCUCAGGUGCCAGUCUCAUUGGGAAACACCUCAUUGGCCCACCCAGAAACAAUGUUUAGUCAGGGCACCCAGUCGCCCCCUCACACUGACAUAGAGAUGAAGCAUCAUACAACGCUAGGCCCAUUGUGUCACAGUCUGGUGUGGGCUGGGUGCCGUCCUCCACCUUGAGCUGUGCUAGAGGGGAUGAGUGGCCUCUGGGGUCAAGGUGGUGAGGGAAGGGAGGGCUGGGGACAGGCUGGGCCCAGAUGUGCUGUGUGUCACCCGCCUGCCUGCCUGGGUCAGCCAUGCAGGAGCACACCUGGGAAGAGGAGGUGGGCCAUGCACUGCCUUGCACCAUCUGGCCCCGUCCCCUCACCACAGGCCCCAUCCCCUGACAGUGGCCCUAUCCCCUCACGGCAUGCCCCGCCCCCUCACCACA